rnacentral:rRNA from 1 species
GAUGAACGCUGGCGGCGUGCCUAAUACAUGCAAGUCGAGCGAACAGACGAGGAGCUUACUCCUCUGACGUUAGCGGCGGCCGGGUGAGUAACACGUGGAUAACCUACCUAUAAGACUGGGAUAACUUCGGGAAACCGGAGCUAAUACCGGAUAACAUGUUGAACCGCAUGGUUCAACAGUGAAAGACGGUCUUGCUGUCACUUAUAGAUGGAUCCGCGUCGCAUUAGCUAGUUGGUAAGGUAACGGCUUACCAAGGCAACGAUGCGUAGCCGACCUGAGAGGGUGAUCGGCCACACUGGAACUGAGACACGGUCCAGACUCCUACGGGAGGCAGCAGUAGGGAAUCUUCCGCAAUGGGGGAAAGCCUGACGGAGCAACGCCGCGUGAGUGAAGAAGGUCUUCGGAUCGUAAAACUCUGUUAUUAGGGAAGAACAAAUGUGUAAGUAACUAUGCACGUCUUGACGGUACCUAAUCAGAAAGCCACGGCUAACUACGUG